rnacentral:rRNA from 1 species
GACGAACGCUGGCGGCGUGCUUAACACAUGCAAGUCGAACGGAAAGGCCCUGCUUUUGUGGGGUGCUCGAGUGGCGAACGGGUGAGUAACACGUGAGUAACCUGCCCUUGACUUUGGGAUAACUUCAGGAAACUGGGGCUAAUACCGGAUAGGAGCUCCUGCUGCAUGGUGGGGGUUGGAAAGUUUCGGCGGUUGGGGAUGGACUCGCGGCUUAUCAGCUUGUUGGUGGGGUAGUGGCUUACCAAGGCUUUGACGGGUAGCCGGCCUGAGAGGGUGACCGGCAAAAUGGGGAAUGAGAUAGGGCCCAGACCCUCAGGGGGGGCAGAGGGGGGAAAUAUUGCAAAAGGGGCGGAAGCCGGAUGCAGCAACGCCGGGGGGGGGAUGCGGGCCUUGGGGUUGUAAACCGCUUUCGCCUGUGACGAAGGGUGAGGGAGGGAAAUGGGUAAAGAAGCACCGGCUAACUACGG